rnacentral:rRNA from 1 species
AACGAACGCUGGCGGCAUGCCUAACACAUGCAAGUCGAACGAGAUCUUCGGGUCUAGUGGCGCACGGGUGCGCAACGCGUGGGAAUCUGCCCUUUGGUUCGGAAUAACAGUUGGAAACGACUGCUAAUACCGGAUGAUGACGAAAGUCCAAAGAUUUAUCGCCAGAGGAUGAGCCCGCGUAGGAUUAGCUAGUUGGUGUGGUAAAGGCGCACCAAGGCGACGAUCCUUAGCUGGUCUGAGAGGAUGAUCAGCCACACUGGGACUGAGACACGGCCCAGACUCCUACGGGAGGCAGCAGUGGGGAAUAUUGGACAAUGGGCAAAAGCCUGAUCCAGCAAUGCCGCGUGAGUGAUGAAGGCCUUAGGGUUGUAAAGCUCUUUUACCCGGGAUGAUAAUGACAGUACCGGGAGAAUAAGCUCCGGCCAACUCCGUGCCAGCAGCCGCCGUAA